CCAGACUCCUACGGGAGGCAGCAGUGAGGAAUAUUGGUCAAUGGGCUAAGGCCUGAACCAGCCAAGUCGCGUGAGGGAAGACGGUCCUACGGAUUGUAAACCUCUUUUGUCGGGGAGCAACGAGGCCACGUGUGGCCGAAGUGAGAGUACCCGAAGAAAAAGCAUCGGCUAACUCCGUGCCAGCAGCCGCGGUAAUACGGAGGAUGCGAGCGUUAUCCGGAUUUAUUGGGUUUAAAGGGUGCGUAGGCGGGCUUGUAAGUCAGCGGUCAAAUGUCGGGGCUCAACCCCGGCCUGCCGUUGAAACUGGCGGCCUCGAGUGGGCGAGAAGUAUGCGGAAUGCGUGGUGUAGCGGUGAAAUGCAUAGAUAUCACGCAGAACCCCGAUUGCGAAGGCAGCCUUCCGGCGCCCUACUGACGCUGAGGCACGAAAGUGCGGGGAUCGAACAGGAUUAGAUACCCGAGUAAU
rnacentral:rRNA from 1 species